AAUCACAUUUUGUAUUCGUCGCAUGUAUUCGUGUGUGUGUGUGUGUGCUUCACAUGUCCCCCGGGGAAUAAACAAAAGCCCACGGCUUCUUGCGCACCCACCCAACAAAAGCUCGCCUUCUUCAUUCUCCUUUCCGUCCGUUUUGCCAACUCACAUCCUGCUUCUUCCACCAUUUUGCCAUUCCGUCAAGGCGCCAAUUUUCGGGUGAAAAUGAUGACGGUGAACGAGAGGCGGAGGCGGUGAUCGAAACGCUGUAAUUAGUUGAGACAGCGAUUAGAUAUUGGGUGAGCCCCGCGCAGUAAACCGCACAAUAUAAGAGGGGUUGGUGGUUAUUGGGC
ensembl:ncRNA C05E11.16 ncRNA